CAGUUUGAGUUGUCCAUCUUUUUUUCUUGGGCGUGCUGCUGGAUAGAGGUGGAGCUCGCGUAGAGGUGCUAGGUCACGCGGCGGCGCCGGCCGGGGGCGGGGAGACGGCGCGCAGUGGUGGCGGCCGGUGGAGGGGAGGCGGCACGCGACGGGGGGAGGUGGCGGUAGUAGCCGGUGGCGGGGAGGCAGCACGAGGCGGGGUGGGGAAGCCGAAGUCACCUAGGCGUGGCGGCGGCGGGAAGGAGAGGUGGCAGUGGGCACGGACGGGCGCGAGUAGGUAGCGGCGCAAUUCCGAAGUCACUGGUGCCGCGGAGCCGACGCUGGGUCCGGACGAACCGGCGGCCUACCUACCUAUGGCCGGCUCGAGCAGGAACCGCGGGGCCGACGCUGGGUACCAACUAACCGGCGGCCGACCUUCCCCUGCAGAGGAGGACUGAUUCGAACUACACCCUGACUGUCGGACCACACACGCCGGACGCCUGCCGUUGCUGCGUAGAAGAGAAUAGCAGGAGUACGAGAGACGGGAAUUAAACAAUAGGAUAGAGAGACUAAUAACCGAUGUACGCGUCCACAAACUCCGUCCUGGCGUACUCGUCACUGAACGUAGGUCAUCCUCCUUCGUUCUUCGUCGUUGCUGAGACUCGAUCGACGAUCGUUACGUGGGGGAGGGGAGAGUAGAGCCCAUGUACCUAAAAGUUGCCGGUUUGAUGAGAGAACUAAGAAAGAAAUCGCAAAAUCAAAAGUGAUUGUUAGGUAUAAACCAUUUGGCACUUGAGACAAGUCCUCGUAGUCCGUUGUUGGACAAACUACAAUACGUAUGCUGCCUAACUCUAUGUCAUAUUAAAAGUACAGUUUGAGAAUGGAGACAAAUCUUUUAGUUAUACUUCUUUGUCCACAUAGACUACAUGCUAGACGUGAAUUCUUGUUCACAUGGUCAACAAGGUUCGACGGCCUGCUGGUUUCUCAGUCACUCUCAGUUGUUAGGUAAACUAAAGCACCCCUAAUAAGUCAUUUUACGCUAGAUGUGACUUCGGUUAGGCUAGGUCCACUUUGUCUCUGGCUCGCAAGUUUCAUCCUUUUGUCUGAGCCGCACCACCGGCGAGGGGUAAAGGGACGCAGCAGGUCUAAACAAGGCCGACCCACGGUGGGACCGCCGGUUCUCACACGAUAGGGUGCCUUCGUCCGGGGAGGAGACAUGAAAAUGUUGUAUAGGUCAAUACCAAGGUAACAAUAGCGUGUGGUUUGCAAGUUACUUAAAGAAGUUCUUUUACUUACCUAAUAAAACAACACACGAAGUUGGUCGUGCCAACCUUUUCUUUUCAGUACCUAUUUCGAACCAUUAAGGGUCACUUCUCAAAGACGAUUAGGUAGUCGAUUACGAUUAUAUCUGUCUAAGAUACAUCAGUCCUGAACCAUGAACCUGGAAGUAUUCUACCGCGUUCCCCUCGAUACCCCUAUCUAACUGUUGUUAUAAACGUUCGUCCUUUAAUUUCAUGUUUUUGAUGAAGCAUAGCGGAACCGAUAUUCUUGCGGACCUGAGGGAGUCGGCUUUGGGUACAAGUUAACGAAAGGUACGGACUGUAACAACAGCGGCAAAACGGCUAAAGCCGUCUUAGAGCAGCAAGCUGAAGCGGUCUUAAGACAGACGGACAAGAGGUGGGUACCAACGUUAGUGCUGCUCGUUGUUUACAUACGUGACUUAAUGACCUCAUUCCAUCACUUUAUGAAGAACGAACGCACUCACCUUAAAAGCUUGUCUCCUUCUUGUAUGUUGUCUCACAUACGUGAUGUCCUUACCGUGUUAUAAGAGUACCGUCUUACCCCUACCCCGUGAUACACUGGGUUGUUGACAAGAUGGUCGUCCCAACUACCGUAAGAUACCGUUAUGGUUCUUAGGUUUGUAGUAGGGGCUUCACUAGGCACCACGAGUCACUAUGUGAAGUUACCUUUGUACUUCGGCACCGAACUACAGCGAGAGUUGGUCAUGUCCCGAUAUACCUGAUUCGUACAUCUCUGAUCUUACCUUAAGAACUGUGACAUUGAAACGAAAGACUUCAUUAAAUUCUUUAGCAGGUUCUUAUUCAGUAGGCGGUUAUAUAACUAACACCCUUUUACUCACUUGAUAAUAAAAAUAGACAAUACCUACUUGUAUACACAUGAUAAACAUCGUUUGUAGAGAGGUUGACCUUCCUUUUAUAACCACAAACGAGGUACCGCUUCGUGAUUUCUCCGUACGUCUCUGUCUGUGUCCUGAACGGGAGGGAGGUACUUUGUUCAGGUGUUUUAAUGUUCAACUUUCACUCACCCUCAUACUACCUGACACAUAUCUGAACCAUAUCCUCAUCGAACGUAAAUUCAAACUUUGUUCCCUAAAGGGAUGGCGACAAGUUACUGUACAUGCAACACACCACAGGCUA
rnacentral:rRNA from 1 species